rnacentral:rRNA from 1 species
UACGAAGGGGGCUAGCGUUGCUCGGAAUCACUGGGCGUAAAGCGCACGUAGGCGGCUUUCUAAGUCGGGGGUGAAAUCCUGGAGCUCAACUCCAGAACUGCCUUCGAUACUGGAGAGCUCGAGUCCGGGAGAGGUGAGUGGAACUGCGAGUGUAGAGGUGAAAUUCGUAGAUAUUCGCAAGAACACCAGUGGCGAAGGCGGCUCACUGGCCCGGUACUGACGCUGAGGUGCGAAAGCGUGGGGAGCAAACAGGG